ensembl:lncRNA
CAAGAAGACAAGCUGCACAAGUCACUAACAUACCUUCUGAAACGUGUGUCAAGCCUGGAGUUUUUCACUUAUUUAUAUAAUUCAGACUUUGCAGUGACUUGUUACUCAAUAGAGACAUGACCAGGAAGAUACAAACCAUUCAGACCCAGCCAUCACGGGACUUGUAAGCCAUCAGAAAACUUCAUAAUUCUAAACACUUUGGUGCUGGUCAAAUUGACUUACAUGUCAGUCAGAAAGCUUGGUCACUUUCUGCAAUUCCUGUACUGACCCAGGCAGAAGACACCAAAUGCAAGCAUCUCUGAAUAUCCAGCUCACAUCUCAGAUGAAGUUUUGAGCCCACUGGCCAAAGAUGGCUUGAAACCAAGCCAUCAGAACAGGCUGGCCACUGCCCAUCAGUGUAAGGUGCAACUAAAUUACUGUGCUAAGGGCACUUUCGGGCACACUCGGUGCAAUUUGCCCAGGGAUAUGCCUAAGUUUGGUCAGUGCCUGAAGUUUCUACCAGAGGUCCCCCAGAUUGGACAGUCUCUAUUGACAAAGUUUCAGCACCAAGAUAUCAUCCAAAAUUCAGAGGAAAAGGGCCCUGGAGCUCCUGGAGACCUGGGCCUCAGGAUCUUUGAGCAUUACAUCCAGCUCAGGAGUUACAUGAAGCAACCCAAGCUCCACCAAGCAACUCUGAAUUAUGGAAUGGAAAUUUAUCAAAGGUCACUUGGAAGUGGGAAUUGCAAACUUUUUACUGGAAAAACAAAAAAUAAGAAUACCCUUUUGAUCUUGUUGUUGAUGUUAAUUUGUUUUUAUUUUUCCCCCCUCAAUGUUUUUGUCUGAAAUGACAAGUUCUUUAAUCACCUCCUCCUAAGAUACAUUUUGAAUUUAUUUGUGUCCGCCUUUUCCCAUGAAAGGUAAAGAUUUCCCAGAAGAUUACUUCACACAGUGUGCAUACCCACAAAUGUCCUUCUCCUCCAUCAUCUCCAAGAAGGGACCACUUGUCUUAUACACUGCAAAGAAAGAUUAUUAUUUUUACUUGAUUGUUAAUUAAUUUAAUAUUUAAUACCAUACCUUGGUGGGGAAGAGGCUAAUAAAACCUUGCCAGACUACAUGCGGUGGGCUGUAUUAGGAGUCUGUGUGAGUGACCACAUCUCACACUGCAGAGCAGUUGUUGGAGGGAGGCACUGCCCUCAGUAGUACAGCAGCACCAGCAUUUUCUGGUUGCAUACUGAGUAGGAAGAUAAGAUAUGAGAGUAUAGGUCAAUGCCGCAUCAGAUAUACCAGAUAACACUGGAAUCCUUUGCAUAUUCAAGCAGGAUAGGCCCCAGAAUAAGCUCAAUCCACCCAGCAAGUAUUUCAGGAAUGCACCUGGGAUGUAGUGU